AGAGUUUGAUCCUGGCUCAGGACGAACGCUGGCGGCGUGCCUAACACAUGCAAGUCGAACGGGGAGUUAUUUAUAACUCCUAGUGGCGAACGGGUGAGUAACGCGUAGACAACCUGCCUCUAAAUUGGGGACAACACCGCGAAAGUGGUGCUAAUACCGAAUGUGGUAUCUUGGUCGCAUGACUGAGAUAAGAAAGGUGGCCUCUGUUCGAGGUGCGAGAAUCGAGGUGCGAAGAUCGAAAGGGAAACUUUAUCGACCAUCGCAUUUCGCUUCUCGCCCUUCGAGACAUGCUACCGAUUAGAGAUGGGUCUGCGUCUGAUUAGCUAGUUGGUGAGGUAACGGCUCACCAAGGCGACGAUCAGUAGCCGGUCUGAGAAGAUGAACGGCCACACUGGGACUGAGACACGGCCCAGACUCCUACGGGAGGCAGCAGUGGGGAAUCUUCCGCAAUGGACGAAAGUCUGACGGAGCAACGCCGCGUGAGUGAAGAAGGUCUUCGGAUUGUAAAGCUCUGUCGUUUGAGACGAACGUAUUCUAUGUGAAUAAUGUAGAGUAAUGACGGUACCAAAGGAGAAAGCCACGGCUAACUACGUGCCAGCAGCCGCGGUAAUACGUAGGUGGCAAGCGUUGUCCGGAAUUAUUGGGCGUAAAGGGCGUGUAGGUGGAUUCUUAAGUCGUGUGUCUAAGUGCGGGGCUCAACCCCGUAUAGGCGCAGGAAACUGGGAAUCUUGAGUGCAGGAGAGGAAAGUGGAAUUCCCAGUGUAGCGGUGAAAUGCGUAGAUAUUGGGAGGAACACCAGUGGCGAACGCGACUUUCUGGACUGUGUCUGACACUGAGGCGCGAAAGCCAGGGGAGCGAACGGGAUUAGAUACCCCGGUAGUCCUGACCGUAAACGAUGGGUACUAGGUGUAGAGGGUAUCGACCCCUUCUGUGCCGCAAGCAAACGCAAUAAGUACCCCGCCUGGGGAGUACGGCCGCAAGGUUGAAACUCAAAGGAAUUGACGGGGGCCCGCACAAGCGGUGGAGUAUGUGGUUUAAUUCGACGCAACGCGAAGAACCUUACCAGGACUUGACAUUGAGUGAAAAACUAAGAGACUAGUACCUAUCCUUCGGGAUACACGAAAACAGGUGGUGCAUGGCUGUCGUCAGCUCGUGUCGUGAGAUGUUGGAUUAAGUCCCGCAACGAGCGCAACCCUUAUCCUUUGUUGCCAGCACGUAAUGGUGGGAACUCAAGGGAGACUGCCGCAGACAAUGCGGAGGAAGGCGGGGAUGACGUCAAGUCAUCAUGCCCCUUAUGUCCUGGGCUACACACGUACUACAAUGGGCUUAAACAAAGCGAAGCAAGACCGCGAGGUUGAGCAAAACGCAUAAACAAGCUCUCAGUUCGGAUCGGAGGCUGCAACUCGCCUCCGUGAAGUCGGAAUCGCUAGUAAUCGCAGGUCAGCAUACUGCGGUGAAUACGUUCCCGGGCCUUGCACACACCGCCCGUC
rnacentral:rRNA from 1 species